AUUUAUUCUUGGCCUUUUGGCUAAGAUUAAGUAUCUGUUCUUAUCAGUUUAAUAUCCGAUAUGUCCUAUACCUGAGGACAAUAUAUUAAAUGUAUUUUGGGGACUAGGAAAUGAAAAAGGAACUUGCUUCAUCUGUUUUACGCAUCGACCUGGUAUUGAAGUACCUCCAGUAAUGGUGCAGAAUAG
ensembl:snRNA U2 U2 spliceosomal RNA